GUGGGUGUAGUUCAGCGGUCUAGAGCACCAGACUGUGGAUCUGGUUGUCGUCGGUUCAAAUCCGAUCACCCACC
rnacentral:tRNA from 1 species